UACGUAGGGGGCAAGCGUUGUCCGGAAUCAUUGGGCGUAAAGCGCGUGUAGGCGGCUCGGUAAGUCUGCUGUGAAAGUCCAGGGCUCAACCCUGGGAUGCCGGUGGAUACUGUCGAGCUCGAGUCCGGAAGAGGAGUGUGGAAUUCCCGGUGUAGCGGUGAAAUGCGCAGAUAUCGGGAGGAACACCGACGGCGAAGGCAGCACUCUGGGCUGGAACUGACGCUGAGGAGCGAAAGCGUGGGUAGCAAACAGG
rnacentral:rRNA from 1 species